AACGAACGCUGGCGGCGUGCCUAACACAUGCAAGUCGAACGAAGGCUUCGGCCUUAGUGGCGCACGGGUGCGUAACGCGUGGGAAUCUGCCCCUCGGUUCGGAAUAACAGUUAGAAAUGACUGCUAAUACCGGAUGAUGACUUCGGUCCAAAGAUUUAUCGCCGGGGGAUGAGCCCGCGUAAGAUUAGGAAGUUGGUGGGGUAAAGGCCUACCAAGCCGACGAUCUUUAGCUGGUCUGAGAGGAUGAUCAGCCACACUGGGACUGAGACACGGCCCAGACUCCUACGGGAGGCAGCAGUGGGGAAUAUUGGACAAUGGGCGAAAGCCUGAUCCAGCAAUGCCGCGUGAGUGAUGAAGGCCUUAGGGUUGUAAAGCUCUUUUACCAGGGAUGAUAAUGACAGUACCUGGAGAAUAAGCUCCGGCUAACUCCGUGCCAGCAGCCGCCGUAA
rnacentral:rRNA from 1 species